rnacentral:rRNA from 1 species
UACGUAGGCAGCAAGCGUUGUUCGGAAUUACUGGGCGUAAAGAGUGUGUAGGCUGUUCUCUAAGUCUGUCGUGAAAUCUCCCGGCUUAACUGGGAGGGUGCGGCGGAAACUGGAGUGCUAGAGGGUGGGAGAGGAAAGCGGAAUUCCUGGUGUAGCGGUGAAAUGCGUAGAUAUCAGGAGGAACACCUGUGGUGUAGACAGCUUUCUGGACCGCUUCUGACGCUGAGACACGAAAGCGUGGGUAGCAAACAGG